GACGUAGGGGGCCAGCGUUGUUCGGAAUUACUGGGUGUAAAGGGUUCGUAGGCGGUGCGGCAAGUCGGGAGUGAAAUCUCUGGGCUUAACCCAGAGGCUGCUUCCGAAACUGCUGUGCUUGAGUGUGGGAGAGGCGCGUGGAAUUGCAGGUGUAGCGGUGAAAUGCGUAGAUAUCUGCAGGAACACCCGUGGCGAAAGCGGCGCGCUGGGCCACUACUGACGCUGAGGAACGAAAGCUAGGGGAGCAAACAGG
rnacentral:rRNA from 1 species